UUGAAGUACAUAGUUCACCUAAGUGACAUUUUGUGACUCAAAUCUCUAUAUAUAAGCAACACCCAGAAACAUAAACUGGGAACAAACAAGUUAGUAAAAAAUAUGGCUAAGAUGAUUGAGGCAAGUAUUAUAUCAUUUAUGAAAUUAAUGGUGAUGCUAAUUUUGAUCUCUAAUUCACAAUUAGUAUAUUGUUUGGAUCAACAAUGUUUUAGGGACUGCAUUAGUGCAUGUUACCAAAAUCCUGGUUGUUACAUAUCAUGUGCAAGAGAAUGUGGGGGUUCUCUCAAGAAUACUUCUUCUCCAAUGCACUAUUGCAAUCUUGGUUGUUCGAUUCAUAAGUGUGCAAGUUUAAUCAAAGAUGACAAACAAUGGCGAGGUUGCAUGAAGGAUUGUUCCGACAAUUAUUGCAAAAUUAGAGCUUAGAAGAUAAUUUUCAAGACUUUGUUAUAUGAUAUUAAUUAAUUAAUGUUGAAAAUGAAAAGCUAGUCAUAUGCCAUCGUUUGUCAUCAUUCCUAUAAUAUGCUUUUCUUGAAUCUCUAUUUGGAAUA